rnacentral:rRNA from 1 species
UACCAGACUCCUACGGGAGGCAGCAGUGGGGAAUAUUGCACAAUGGGGGAAACCCUGAUGCAGCGACGCCGCGUGAGCGAUGAAGUAUUUCGGUAUGUAAAGCUCUAUCAGCAGGGAAGAAGAUGACGGUACCUGACUAAGAAGCCCCGGCUAACUACGCGCCAGCAGCCGCGGUAAUACGUAGGGGGCAAGCGUUAUCCGGAUUUACUGGGUGUAAAGGGAGCGUAGACGGCGAUGCAAGCCAGAUGUGAAAGCCCGGGGCUCAACCCCGGGACUGCAUUUGGAACUGUGUGGCUGGAGUGUCGGAGAGGCAGGCGGAAUUCCUAGUGUAGCGGUGAAAUGCGUAGAUAUUAGGAGGAACACCAGUGGCGAAGGCGGCCUGCUGGACGAUGACUGACGUUGAGGCUCGAAAGCGUGGGGAGCAAACAGGAUUAGAUACCCGGGUAAU